rnacentral:tRNA from 1 species
UCCCUGGUGGUCCAGGGGGUAAGAAUCUGCCUGCCAAUGCAGGGGGCCCAGGUUCGACCCCUGGCCUGGGAA